AACGCUAGCUACAGGCUUAACACAUGCAAGUCGAGGGGAAACGACAUCGAAAGCUUGCUUUUGAUGGGCGUCGACCGGCGCACGGGUGAGUAACGCGUAUCCAACCUGCCCACCACUUGGGGAUAACCUUGCGAAAGUAAGACUAAUACCCAAUGACGUCUCUAGAAGACAUCUGAAAGGGAUUAAAGAUUUAUCGGUGAUGGAUGGGGAUGCGUCUGAUUAGCUUGUUGGCGGGGUAACGGCCCACCAAGGCUACGAUCAGUAGGGGUUCUGAGAGGAAGGUCCCCCACAUUGGAACUGAGACACGGUCCAAACUCCUACGGGAGGCAGCAGUGAGGAAUAUUGGUCAAUGGGCGAGAGCCUGAACCAGCCAAGUAGCGUGCAGGAUGACGGCCCUAUGGGUUGUAAACUGCUUUUAUAAGGGAAUAAAGUGAGUCUCGUGAGACUUUUUGCAUGUACCUUAUGAAUAAGGACCGGCUAAUUCCGUGCCAGCAGCCGCGGUAAUACGGAAGGUCCGGGCGUUAUCCGGAUUUAUUGGGUUUAAAGGGAGCGUAGGUGGAUUGUUAAGUCAGUUGUGAAAGUUUGCGGCUCAACCGUAAAAUUGCAGUUGAAACUGGCAGUCUUGAGUACAGUAGAGGUGGGCGGAAUUCGUGGUGUAGCGGUGAAAUGCUUAGAUAUCACGAAGAACUCCGAUUG
rnacentral:rRNA from 1 species